CCUACGGGUGGCAGCAGUGGGGAAUAUUGGGCAAUGGGCGCAAGCCUGACCCAGCCACGCCGCGUGAAGGAAGAAGGCUUUCGGGUUGUAAACUUCUUUUCUCAGGGACGAAGAAAGUGACGGUGCCUGCGGAAUAAGCCACGGCUAAAUACGUGCCAGCGUCCGCUGUAAUACGUAGGUGGCAAGCGUUAUCCGGAUUUGUUGGGUUUAAGGGGUGCGUGGGCUGUGAGGUAAGUCAGCGGUGAAAUGCCCCCGCUCAACGGGGUGAAGGGCCAUUGAUACUGCCUUGCUGGAAUGCGGAUGCCGUGGGAGGAAUGUGUGGUGUAGCGGUGAAAUGCAUAGAUAUCACACAGAACACCGAUUGCGAAGGCAGCUAACGAAUCCGCGAUUGACGCUGAUGCACGAAAGCGUGGGUAUCAAACAGGAUUAGAUACCCGAGUAGUC
rnacentral:rRNA from 1 species